CACACGACCGUACCGCAAACCGACACUGGUGCGCGAGAUGAGUAUUCUAAGGCGCUUGAGAGAACUCAGGAGAAGGAACUCGGCAAAUUGACACCGUAACUUCGGAAGAAGGUGUGCCUUUAGUAGGUGAAGUCCCUCGCGGAUGGAGCCCAAUGAGGUUGCAAAAAAUCGGUGGCUGCGACUGUUUAUUAAAAACACAGCACUCUGCAAACACGAAAGUGGACGUAUAGGGUGUGACGCCUGCCCGGUGCUGGAAGAUUAAAUGAUGGGGUGCAAGCUCUUGAUUGAAGUCCCAGUAAACGGCGGCCGUAACAAUAACGGUCCUAAGGUAGCGAAAUUCCUUGUCGGGUAAGUUCCGACCUGCACGAAUGGCGUAACGAUGGCCACACUGUCUCCUCCUGAGACUCAGCGAAGUUGAAAUGUUUGUGAUGAUGCAAUCUCCCCGCGGAAAGACGGAAAGACCCCAUGAACCUUUACUGUAGCUUUGUAUUGGACUUUGAACAGAUCUGUGUAGGAUAGGUGGGAGGCUUUGAAGCAGGGUCGCUAGAUCUUGUGGAGCCAACGUUGAAAUACCACCCUGGUGUGUUUGAGGUUCUAACCUAGGCCCGUAAUCCGGGUUGGGGACAGUGCAUGGUAGGCAGUUUGACUGGGGCGGUCUCCUCCCAAAGUGUAACGGAGGAGUUCGAAGGUACGCUAGUUACGGUCGGACAUCGUGACGAUAGUGCAAUGGCAUAAGCGUGCUUAACUGCGAGACUGACAAGUCGAGCAGAUGCGAAAGCAGGACAUAGUGAUCCGGUGGUUCUGUAUGGAAGGGCCAUCGCUCAACGGAUAAAAGGUACUCUGGGGAUAACAGGCUGAUACCGCCCAAGAGUUCAUAUCGACGGCGGUGUUUGGCACCUCGAUGUCGGCUCAUCUCAUCCUGGGGCUGUAGCCGGUCCCAAGGGUAUGGCUGUUCGCCAUUUAAAGAGGUACGUGAGCUGGGUUUAAAACGUCGUGAGACAGUUUGGUCCCUAUCUUCCGUGGGCGCUGCAGAUUUGAGGAAGCCUGCUCCUAGUACGAGAGGACCGGAGUGGACGCACCUCUGGUGUAUCGGUUGUCACGCCAGUGGCAUUGCCGAGUAGCUAUGUGCGGAAGAGAUAACCGCUGAAAGCAUCUAAGCGGGAAACUCGUUUCAAGAUGAGAUCUGCCGGGGCCUUGAGCCCCCUGAAGAGUCGUUCAAGACCAGGACGUUGAUAGGUCGGGUGUGGAAGCGCAGUAAUGCGUUAAGCUAACCGAUACUAAUUGCUCGUGCGGCUUGAUC
rnacentral:rRNA from 1 species